UGACCGAUAGUGAACCAGUACCGUGAGGGAAAGGUGAAAAGCACCCCGGAAGGGGAGUGAAAUAGAACCUGAAACCGUGUGCUUACAAGUAGUCAGAGCCCGUUAAUGGGUGAUGGCGUGCCUUUUGUAGAAUGAACCGGCGAGUUACGAUUUGAUGCAAGGUUAAGCAGUAAAUGUGGAGCCGUAGCGAAAGCGAGUCUGAAUAGGGCGUUUAGUAUUUGGUCGUAGACCCGAAACCAGGUGAUCUACCCUUGGUCAGGUUGAAGUUCAGGUAACACUGAAUGGAGGACCGAACCGACUUACGUUGAAAAGUGAGCGGAUGAACUGAGGGUAGCGGAGAAAUUCCAAUCGAACCUGGAGAUAGCUGGUUCUCUCCGAAAUAGCUUUAGGGCUAGCCUCAAGUGAUGAUUAUUGGAGGUAGAGCACUGUUUGGACGAGGGGCCCCUCUCGGGUUACCGAAUUCAGACAAACUCCGAAUGCCAAUUAAUUUAACUUGGGAGUCAGAACAUGGGUGAUAAGGUCCGUGUUCGAAAGGGAAACAGCCCAGACCACCAGCUAAGGUCCCAAAAUAUAUGUUAAGUGGAAAAGGAUGUGGCGUUGCCCAGACAACUAGGAUGUUGGCUUAGAAGCAGCCAUCAUUUAAAGAGUGCGUAAUAGCUCACUAGUCGAGUGACACUGCGCCGAAAAUGUACCGGGGCUAAACAUAUUACCGAAGCUGUGGAUUGUCCUUUGGACAAUGGUAGGAGAGCGUUCUAAGGGCGUUGAAGCAUGAUCGUAAGGACAUGUGGAGCGCUUAGAAGUGAGAAUGCCGGUGUGAGUAGCGAAAGACGGGUGAGAAUCCCGUCCACCGAUUGACUAAGGUUUCCAGAGGAAGGCUCGUCCGCUCUGGGUUAGUCGGGUCCUAAGCUGAGGCCGACAGGCGUAGGCGAUGGAUAACAGGUUGAUAUUCCUGUACCACCUAUAAUCGUUUUAAUCGAUGGGGGGACGCAGUAGGAUAGGCGAAGCGUGCGAUUGGAUUGCACGUCUAAGCAGUAAGGCUGAGUAUUAGGCAAAUCCGGUACUCGUUAAGGCUGAGCUGUGAUGGGGAGAAGACAUUGUGUCUUCGAGUCGUUGAUUUCACACUGCCGAGAAAAGCCUCUAGAUAGAAAAUAGGUGCCCGUACCGCAAACCGACACAGGUAGUCAAGAUGAGAAUUCUAAGGUGAGCGAGCGAACUCUCGUUAAGGAACUCGGCAAAAUGACCCCGUAACUUCGGGAGAAGGGGUGCUCUUUAGGGUUAACGCCCAGAAGAGCCGCAGUGAAUAGGCCCAAGCGACUGUUUAUCAAAAACACAGGUCUCUGCUAAACCGUAAGGUGAUGUAUAGGGGCUGACGCCUGCCCGGUGCUGGAAGGUUAAGAGGAGUGGUUAGCUUCUGCGAAGCUACGAAUCGAAGCCCCAGUAAACGGCGGCCGUAACUAUAACGGUCCUAAGGUAGCGAAAUUCCUUGUCGGGUAAGUUCCGACCCGCACGAAAGGCGUAACGAUUUGGGCACUGUCUCAACGAGAGACUCGGUGAAAUCAUAGUACCUGUGAAGAUGCAGGUUACCCGCGACAGGACGGAAAGACCCCGUGGAGCUUUACUGUAGCCUGAUAUUGAAAUUCGGCACAGCUUGUACAGGAUAGGUAGGAGCCUUUGAAACGUGAGCGCUAGCUUACGUGGAGGCGCUGGUGGGAUACUACCCUAGCUGUGUUGGCUUUCUAACCCGCACCACUUAUCGUGGUGGGAGACAGUGUCAGGCGGGCAGUUUGACUGGGGCGGUCGCCUCCUAAAAGGUAACGGAGGCGCUCAAAGGUUCCCUCAGAAUGGUUGGAAAUCAUUCAUAGAGUGUAAAGGCAUAAGGGAGCUUGACUGCGAGACCUACAAGUCGAGCAGGGUCGAAAGACGGACUUAGUGAUCCGGUGGUUCCGCAUGGAAGGGCCAUCGCUCAACGGAUAAAAGCUACCCCGGGGAUAACAGGCUUAUCUCCCCCAAGAGUUCACAUCGACGGGGAGGUUUGGCACCUCGAUGUCGGCUCAUCGCAUCCUGGGGCUGUAGUCGGUCCCAAGGGUUGGGCUGUUCGCCCAUUAAAGCGGUACGCGAGCUGGGUUCAGAACGUCGUGAGACAGUUCGGUCCCUAUCCGUCGUGGGCGUAGGAAAUUUGAGAGGAGCUGUCCUUAGUACGAGAGGACCGGGAUGGACAUACCUCUGGUGUACCAGUUGUCGUGCCAACGGCAUAGCUGGGUAGCUAUGUGUGGACGGGAUAAGUGCUGAAAGCAUCUAAGCAUGAAGCCCCCCUCAAGAUGAGAUUUCCCAACUUCGGUUAUAAGAUCCCUCAAAGAUGAUGAGGUUAAUAGGUUCGAGGUGGAAGCAUGGUGACAUGUGGAGCUGACGAAUACUAAUCGAUCGAAGACUUAAUCAA
rnacentral:rRNA from 1 species